rnacentral:lncRNA from 1 species
AGGGAUUGUGGUAAAUACCAUCGGUAUUGCUGAGCAAAGCCUGGAAAUCAGAAGUCCACGUGUCAGCAGGUAUACAAGUCCCUGUUUUCUCAGGGUUCUGCAUGGAGGAAGUGUCAUGAAGAUGACUGACUACAGGAGGACAAACCCUCUACUGACACAGAGGAAAAAGC